rnacentral:rRNA from 1 species
GGGUGGUAAUGCCGGAUGCUCCGGUUGGAUGCAUGUCCUUCCGGGAAAGAUUCUAUCGGUAUGGGAUGGGGUCGCGUCCUAUCAGCUUGAUGGCGGGGUAACGGCCCACCAUGGCUUCGACGGGUAGCCGGCCUGAGAGGGCGACCGGCCACAUUGGGACUGAGAUACGGCCCAGACUCCUACGGGAGGCAGCAGUGGGGAAUAUUGCACAAUGGGCGCAAGCCUGAUGCAGCGACGCCGCGUGCGGGAUGGAGGCCUUCGGGUUGUAAACCGCUUUUGAUCGGGAGCAAGCCCUUCGGGGUGAGUGUACCUUUCGAAUAAGCACCGGCUAACUACGUGCCAGCAGCCGCGGUAAUACGUAGGGUGCAAGCGUUAUCCGGAAUUAUUGGGCGUAAAGGGCUCGUAGGCGGUUCGUCGCGUCCGGUGUGAAAGCCCAUCGCUUAACGGUGGGUCUGCGCCGGGUACGGGCGGGCUGGAGUGCGGUAGGGGAGACUGGAAUUCCCGGUGUAACGGUGGAAUGUGUAGAUAUCGGGAAA